GUGGGGAAUUUUGGACAAUGGGCGAAAGCCUGAUCCAGCCAUGCCGCGUGCAGGAUGAAGGCCUUCGGGUUGUAAACUGCUUUUGUACGGAACGAAAAGACUUCUUCUAAUACAGGAGGUCCAUGACGGUACCGUAAGAAUAAGCACCGGCUAACUACGUGCCAGCAGCCGCGGUAAUACGUAGGGUGCAAGCGUUAAUCGGAAUUACUGGGCGUAAAGCGUGCGCAGGCGGUUAUAUAAGACAGAUGUGAAAUCCCCGGGCUCAACCUGGGAACUGCAUUUGUGACUGUAUAGCUAGAGUACGGUAGAGGGGGAUGGAAUUCCGCGUGUAGCAGUGAAAUGCGUAGAUAUGCGGAGGAACACCGAUGGCGAAGGCAAUCCCCUGGACCUGUACUGACGCUCAUGCACGAAAGCGUGGGGAGCAAACAGGAUUAGAUACCCUUGUAGUCC
rnacentral:rRNA from 1 species